AACUUUCAACAACGGAUCUCUUGGUUCUGGCAUCGAUGAAGAACGCAGCGAAAUGCGAUAAGUAAUGUGAAUUGCAGAAUUCAGUGAAUCAUCGAAUCUUUGAACGCACAUUGCGCCCGCCGGCAUUCCGGCGGGCAUGCCUGUUCGAGCGUCAU
rnacentral:rRNA from 1 species